CACAGCGCGACCUCCAGGCCCGCACCCCUCUCAGGCAUCCUGCCUGGCCGGUCUACCUCCUUCCAGAAGCAAUGAAUAUUUCCAGCAUGGAGCAGGAGGCAGGUCAACAAAUGCUGCUCUAAACAUCUUGGUCAAGCUUGCUAUGACCUCCCAUCCUGCCAUACACACCUUAGGUCACAGGCAGCCUCCUCUCCACACUGCCACCCUGCAAUGAGGGCCACCCCCUCUGGAAACUACAGGGGGUCAAAAAGUGGGAGGUUUGUCUGUGUGCCCCACAAUCCAGGCAGAGAGGUCCAGGGCAGAGGGGACCUUUGAGGGGUACAUGGCACCCUUCGAAGGCCUCAGAACACGUCUGCCUUUACAAGCUGACCACAGCCACCAACACUUAGUCUUAGGAACCCGACUUCUCUCUACCUAUGAAGGUUUUCUGCAAGGUUUUGUCUCCUAGAGACCCUGCCCCAUCCCAGGCCCUGCCCGGCUGACCAUCCCCCCCUCCAGUAUGAAGAGUCUGCCUGUCCUGAUCCAAGACAGGCAAGGACCAGACCCUGGAGGAAGGCAAGUGACAUUGCAGGGGGACAAGCAGAAAAGUGUCUGAGGAGCCCAAAGGCCAGGCUCUCCUGGGACUGAGAGCAGCAGCUCCGGCUCCAGGAACACACAGGGAUGCACAUGGCAGGAACUGGGGCUGUCACGAGCAAGGCCAAGUGCUCUCCCUGGGUGCUGAGUUUCUUUGAUCACCAGACCUGAGAAGGGCCCUUUUCCACAGGGGCCUUGGGACUCCUGACUGCUGCCUCAGCAUGAAAGUGUCCUGUCUCCCCAGCUGAGCCCCUCUCUGGGAGGCAGGUCCCCAUCCCCUGGGCCUUCCUGCUGGGGUGUGCUGCUCUCCCCACAUUGUGUGGGCACCAGCACUAUCCACUUAGCACCUCAACCCCCCGGGGCCUCUUCACUCGUCUCCCAGGGGCUCCCCUAAAAGCUACUUGCUCCUGAGCUCCAAUUGUAAUCAAGUCCCAAAGCAGCUGGGUUUAAAGACACAAUUAUGCAUUAUGGAUAAAGGGCAGGUCACCCUCCCCCGCCAGCCAGCUGGGCAUCUGUGCUUGCCCCACGGCUCCCAUCAGAGGCUCCAGCAGGCCUGUCCCUCCCCUGGGCACACAGAGCAAGCCAAGGCGCCCCUUGGUGCCCGCAGUCCCAGGAGCCGAGCACGGGGCUCCUGGCUGCAGCCGCAGAAAGGCCCUCUUGCUGGGAUCCCACUACAAAUUGAUGAACGCUAAUGACCUGCUUCCUCCAUCUGGUACCACAAUCAUGAAGAUGCUCCCAAACGCUGGGAGUUGGGGGGUAUUCUUUUUUUCUUUUCCUUUUUGCCUUUUUUUCAAAUAUUUAUGAAGAGAUUUUCCAUUUAUCCUGACACGUCUUCUCCACCGUGGGUGUCAGCUAGGAGGGCUCAGACAACAAACUCCAGAAGGGUGCCCAGCACAUGUAACUGUUUAA
rnacentral:lncRNA from 1 species